CUUAAAUUGUGGUUCUCUGUCUCUAGCACCGUGAUCUUUGAAAUGCGUUAUUGAUUUUCUUCUUUCUUCUGGGAAAUGCAAUGCAGGUGAACUUGUAAGUGUUGAAUCCUCCCUCUCCUCACUGUUCAAUCAGACUGAGGCCUACUUCCUUUCUGAUAAGAAAUAUGGAACUGCCAUUGCUCAGUAGGAAAAUGUCCUUUCUACAAGCAUUCAUAUUUCAAUAAAAAUCUGCACUUUGUGAGUUGAGCCCCCUCAAAGAGACCUACAGACCCUGCCAUGAGCAUCUCCAUCCACACUCAUCAUUUCCCAUUUUCACCACUUCUGCUCCUGUGCAAACCAGUACUAUCCUUUUCUGGGGGAUCCUAGGCAGAAGCGAUGGCAGGACAAAGGCAGAGAAGGCACUGCCAGGUCCUGCAUGCCAGUAAAACUACUCAUGUCAGCUGUUCUGCAGGAUCCCAUGAGAAGCCUCUCACCCUCCACAAUCCCCUUAAAAACUGUAGCCCAGAACUCUCUGGAAUGAUGAAUUUGAAGGUUUG
rnacentral:lncRNA from 1 species